UUUUGCUGAAGAAAAAGGUCUUGGAUGCCAGAGAUAGAAAGAAGAGGACUGCUCUCCAUUUGGCCUGUGCCAAUGGCCAUCCAGAAGUAGUUACUGUCUUGGUGAACAGAAAAUGCAAGCUCAAUGUCCCCGACAGUGAAAAAAGGACAGCUCUGAUUAAGGCGGUACAAUGCCUGGAAGAGGAGUGUGCCAGCAUCCUGUUAGAACACGGUGCCGAUCCGAAUCACAGUGACGUGUAUGGCAACACAGCUCUUCACUAUGCUGUCUAUGGUGACAACCCAUAGAUCGCAGCAAAGCUCCUUUCACAUGGCGCAAAUAAAGAAGCCAUAAACAAGGAUCACCUCACUCCACUUUUACUUGCUGUAAGUGGAACUAAAGAGGAAAUGGUAGAAUUUUUGAUACAGAAGGAUGCAGAUAUAAAUG